GAUGAACGCUGGCGGCGUGCCUAACACAUGCAAGUCGAGCGAUUACUUCGGUAAAGAGCGGCGGACGGGUGAGUAACGCGUGGGUAACCUGCCCUGUACACACGGAUAACAUACCGAAAGGUAUGCUAAUACGAGAUAAUAUGCUUUAUCGCAUGGUAGAAGUAUCAAAGCUUUUGCGGUACAGGAUGGACCCGCGUCUGAUUAGCUAGUUGGUAAGGUAACGGCUUACCAAGGCGACGACCAGUAGCCGACCUGAGAGGGUGAUCGGCCACAUUGGAACUGAGACACGGUCCAAACUCCUACGGGAGGCAGCAGUGGGGAAUAUUGCACAAUGGGCGAAAGCCUGAUGCAGCAACGCCGCGUGAGCGAUGAAGGCCUUCGGGUCGUAAAGCUCUGUCCUCAAGGAAGAUAAUGACGGUACUUGAGGAGGAAGCCCCGGCUAACUACGUG
rnacentral:rRNA from 1 species